rnacentral:rRNA from 1 species
GCAGUCGAACGAGAACGGAUUAUAGCUUGCUAUAAUUGUCAGCUAAGUGGCGCACGGGUGAGUAAUAUAUAGAUAACCUGCCCUCUAGAAAGGAAUAACAGUUGGAAACGACUGCUAAUGCCCUAUAUGCCUUUAAUACAUAAGUAUGCAAGGGAAACGCUUUAGUGCUAGAGGAUGGGUCUGUAUGGUAUCAGCUUGUUGGCGAGGUAAUGGCUCACCAAGGCUAUGACGCCUAACUGGUUUGAGAGGAUGAUCAGUCACACUGGAACUGAGACACGGUCCAGACUCCUACGGGAGGCAGCAGUGGGGAAUAUUGCACAAUGGACGAAAGUCUGAUGCAGCAACGCCGCGUGGAGGAUGACACAUUUCGGUGCGUAAACUCCUUUUAUAUGGGAAGAUAAUGACGGUACCAUAUGAAUAAGCACCGGCUAACUCCGUGCCAGCAGCCGCGGUAAUACGGAGGGUGCAAGCGUUACUCGGAAUCACUGGGCGUAAAGAGCGUGUAGGCGGGUAUAUAAGUCAGAAGUGAAAUCCAAUAGCUUAACUAUUGAACUGCUUUUGAAACUGUGUACCUAGAAUGUGGGAGAGGUAGAUGGAAUUUCUGGUGUAGGGGUAAAAUCCGUAGAGAUCAGAAGGAAUACCGAUUGCGAAGGCGAUCUACUGGAACAUUAUUGACGCUGAG